rnacentral:rRNA from 1 species
AACGAACGCUGGCGGCAGGCUUAACACAUGCAAGUCGAACGCACCUUUCGGGGUGAGUGGCAGACGGGUGGGUAACGCGUGGGAAUCUACCCUUCUCUACGGGAUAGCUCCGGGAAACUGGAAUUAAUACCGCAUACGUCCUGAGGGAGAAAGAUUUAUCGGGGAAGGAUGAGCCCGCGUUGGAUUAGCUAGUUGGUGGGGUAAAGGCCUACCAAGGCGACGAUCCAUAGCUGGUCUAAGAGGAUGAUCAGCCACAUUGGGACUGAGACACGGCCCAAACUCCUACGGGAGGCAGCAGUGGGGAAUAUUGGACAAUGGGCGCGAGCCUGAUCCAGCCAUGCCGCGUGAGUGAUGAAGGCCCUAGGGUUGUAAAGCUCUUUCAGUGGGGACGAUAAUGACGGUACCCACAGAAGAAGCCCCGGCUAACUUCGUGCCAGCCGCCGCCGUAAAAC